UCUGCAGCUGUGGAGUGGAGGUGCACUGAGCUCCCUGACAGACUGCACAAAAUCGGGAAGCACGGUGGCCACCGUUUUCUUUUCCUUCCCCGAGGAGAAAGUCCUUUGUCAAUCUGUGACGAUCUGACUAAGCAUGUUCUUCUUCGUAGUUGGUGAGUAAGAGAGCUCCUCAUGCCGCCUCAUCACGUUCUCUUCCUCUUUCCCGUGGCUUUAUCAGCACUCCCUUCUGUAGGACACGCUGCAGAGUUACUGUAAGUCAAAAGGAAGGAUGACAAAGAGGUGGUAUUUCUGAUCUGGAGUCGGAAGGGCAAGCUUGAUUCAAGAGGUAGCCGCCCUGCUAUCCAGGAGAACCUGUGCUUGCUCCUCCUUCAGUCGCCCCAGAAUCCAGACCUUCUUUCAGUUGGGGGCCUCUGGAGCCGGGGUUCCAGGUUGGAAACUCCCUGAGAGACCUCAAGCGAGCCAGUCCAUCUCCUUGGGCCCCCUGUCUGUUGUGUGGACAAACAGGUUCUACAGCCCACUCAGCAGCCAGUUCUACUCCCAUGGGGCAGGUGUUUUAUUCCUCCCCACACCCCCAGUUCAGACUGCAGAAUUAGAGUAUCAAAUAAGCCUGAGAAUCUCCAUAGUAGUAAAACAAGUAAUGAAAACCAUCGGAUACAAUGAGGCUGCCUGUGUCCCAAAGUCACCUCCUCCUCCUCCAGGGAGGUCUAGAAUUGUCCCUUUCUCCCCUUCUUUUGAUUCCCCCCAAGGGCCAUGUCCACUAACCCACAGAGCUUUGCUUGUCUGGGACUGGGCAGUUACCCACUUAUGGCUGAACAGGCCUGGAAGGGGACUCCAUUUCCCUUCACACUCCACUCCUCCACAAAGCAGGUCUUCUGGCUAAAGUUACCUAAAGGAGUUCAAGUCUCUUAGACUAUGCUGAUGUCAGCAGAAAUGAAUGGCCCUCUCCCCGGAGGGUGCGGGUACUGUCAAGUUCUAGAAAUCUGAAAUGAAGUAAAGUUCUCACUGGUGCCUCCACAGACAGGUGAAGAGGAGAGAGACUCGAAGGAGUGAAAAGUGGGGACAGACACGUUGAUGGGUUUAUAAGCAUUUCCUCACACACAGGAUCUCAUUUGUGGCUCACAAACACCCAGUGAAGGUGGCAAGAAGACAGGCACUCCCCCUGACUGCCUGGGAGACAGAUGACUCCAGGAUCCCCGUAGAUCCAGCAGUUACUGAUGGCAGGAGUAUGGCUUCAGCCUGUAGGUGUGCUGUCUGAGGGUUAAGCCCCGAUGAACACGGUCUCUUAAUUUUUCACAACUCUUCAAAACAGACAUAAUUUUUUCCUUCUAAAAACAAUUUUGAUAAAA